rnacentral:rRNA from 1 species
UACAGAGGUCUCAAGCGUUGUUCGGAAUUACUGGGCGUAAAGGGUGCGUAGGCGGCUUUCUAAGUUGGAUGUGAAAACUAUGGGCUCAACCCAUAGCCUGCAUCCAAAACUGGAGAGCUGGGUUCUGGAGGGGAAAGCGGAAUUCCUGGUGUAGGCGGUGGAAAUGACGUAGAUAUCAGGAGGAACACCGGUGGCGAAGGCGGCUUUCUGGACAGAUACCGACGCUGAGGCACGAAAGCUAGGGGAGCAAACAGG